UACGGAGGGUGCGAGCGUUGUCCGGAAUCAUUGGGCGUAAAGGGCGCGUAGGUGGCGGGACAAGCGUGCGGUGAAAGCUCGGGGCUCAACCCCGCGUCGGCCGUGCGAACUGUUUUGCUGGAGCACUGUAGAGGCAGGCGGAAUUCCGGGUGUAGCGGUGGAAUGCGUAGAGAUCCGGAAGAACACCGGUGGCGAAGGCGGCCUGCUGGGCAGUUGCUGACACUGAGGCGCGAAGGCCAGGGGAGCAAACGGG
rnacentral:rRNA from 1 species